rnacentral:rRNA from 1 species
CGCGUAGGCGGCGUCGCAAGUCGGCUGUGAAAGCCCGGGGCUCAACUCCGGAGGUGCAGCCGAGACUGCGGUGCUCGAGGCCGGAAGAGGAGGGUGGAAUACCCAGUGUAGAGGUGAAAUUCGUAGAUAUUGGGUGGAACACCGGUGGCGAAAGCGGCUCUCUGGUCCGGUUCUGACGCUGAGGCGCGAAAGCGUGGGGAGCAAACAGGAUUAGAUACCCUGGUAGUCCACGCCCUAAACGAUGCGGGCUAGGCGUCGGGGGGCUUGCCCUUCGGUGCCGCAGCUAACGCGUUAAGCCCGCCGCCUGGGGAGUACGGCCGCAAGGUUAAA